AUUGAACGCUGGCGGCAGGCCUAACACAUGCAAGUCGAACGAGUGGCGGACGGGUGAGUAAUGUCUGGGAAACUGCCCGAAGGAGGGGGAUAACUACUGGAAACGGUAGCAAAUACCGCAUACCAUCGGAUGUGCCCAGAUGGGAUUAGCUAGUAGGUGGGGUAAUGGCUCACCUAGGCGACGAUCCCUAGCUGGUCUGUGAGGAUGACCAGCCACACGGGAACUGGGACACGGUCCAGACUCCUACGGGGGGCAGCAGUGGGGAAUAUUGCACAAUGGGCGCAAGCCUGAUGCGGCCAUGCCGCGUGUAUGAAGAGGGCCUUCGGGUUGUAAAGUACUUUCAGCGAGGAGGCGUUACUCGCAGAAGAAGCACCGGCUAACUCCGUGCCAGCCGCCGCGGUAAUAC
rnacentral:rRNA from 1 species